AUCCUUAUUUGGUUCAUAAUCACAAUGACUGGGUGUUCACAGAAUAUGUACCUCCCCUAAACCUUGUUCAGGUGUGGGCAUAUUACCCAUCUGGAA
rnacentral:snoRNA from 1 species